GUGGGGUCCCGGGGGUAGGGUGCACCUCGGGUGGGAGUUAGGUCCUCGAAGGAGGCGGGGAGCGAGCUAAUCCCGCGAACUCAGAUGAGUUUCCUAAUCGUUGAAAGUCCUUCAACGGGCCGUAUCCCCCAGCCCCGUGAACUCCAGGGCUCCGCUCACCCGAGCUUUUUUGGGAUGGGUUGCGGACAUUUCAGGGUUUCCCGUGUUCCCCUGGAAGAGUGCACGUAAGGACCGCACACAGUCCCCAAGUUCAGUGGGGUGCCCCCUGUCCCCUGGCAGAGUGCAGGUAAUGGACCUUGAGUAGCACCCCGAGUUCAGCAGGGUGUCCCCUGUUCCCCCAGGCACAGGUGUGGCGGUAACAAGCCCCAGAGCCGUCCUCCAACUUAGCAUUGUGCCCCAUGUUCCCCGGGUAUGGUGGUAAUGGGCUGUCAGGAUUGUGCGGGAGGGUCCUCCAGGUGGGGGCCUGGAGGCUGGAGUAAACUAGACCCUACUCAAGUUGCAUGAGGAACAGAUGAGUUGAGGUGUUGAUUUGGAAGAGUCAUUUCGCGUUUCCAAAAAUGUCAAAGUCAUUGGUCUACUUUAGAAUGAAGAUAAUUAGUACUUAAAAAACAAGUAUGUGUUUCCCCUUCUCCCAGAAACCGAAGCAGGUGUGCUUGCCAUAGGUCGGAGGUCCUACUUAUCCCCACCUGACAGCACUUCUCCCCUCUGGCUCCAUGAGACCCGAAGUUUUGAACAUCAGCAUGUGAGUCAGUGAUGCUGCUUGUCACAGGACGUCAGCAUUCAGAGAGAGCAGCAGGUCCAUUUGGCACAAUGUCAUCUUCAAGUCAGGACUGGAGUUUCUUUGGUGGUGGAGUCAGAAGGAGAGUGUUUGGGAAUUCUGGAUGGAGGCAUGCUGGUGUCAGGAGCACUGGGCUGAGUUCUGGAACUGCUUGCCUGAGCCUAGGUGCGUCAGGUUAUCCCACAGAGCUUCCGUUGACUCCUUAUGAAAUUGCUGGAAGGAGCAGGAUCUGUGGACUCCAGGGGUGAUGUGAGAAACCUCAGAAGCCUCCCUUGUCCGUGUUUCCCUCGUCUGUCCUGGUGCUCCAUUCCUUCCUAAGGCCUUGUCACCCGGACCAGAGCAGUGAAUCUGGAACCUCUUCCAAAUGGAGACCCGGAGGCUGCAACAAGGAGGGUCUUGGCCUUGGUCCCCAGACUAGUGGUCAGUGCUCUGCCACGUUCUGCGUACCCAGGUCCUCAGCCCCCCAAGCCCCCAGUCUGUCCCCUGCUCAGAAGGACCUCGAGGGAGUACAAAGCAUUUUCCCAGGACUGGGAGCACAGUGGGUCGGGGAUGGAGAUCCAAGGCCAAUAGGCUCUUCCACAAGCCUGUGGGACCCUAGGGACACUGCAUCUCUACAGCCCAAGUGACAGAAGAGUAAGCUGAGGCCUUUGUGCUGUAGCCCCUCUGGACUUGGGGGUGGGUAUCUCUUCCUGCUUCCAAGUGCCCAGGCUGGUGAUGGACACCGGAACCCAGACCCUGUCCUCUCCCAGUGCCCUGGCAACCCUUCGGGGCCCCUUGGGGACCCCUGACCCUCAGCCUGGCCUGUCUCCCCUCCCCAUGCUAUGGAUCUGGGUCCUUGCCAGGAGUCCUGAUGCCCUGCCCCAUGGCCCAGCUGUCUGCAAC